rnacentral:tRNA from 1 species
GCGGGAUUAGUAUAAUGAUAGUACGCUUGCUUCCCAAGCAAGAGGCACGAGUUUGAUUCUCGUAUCCCGCACCA